UACAAUUUACAGCCAGUCUUUAAGGAAAAACAUUUAAUAAACAAUUGCAUCUGGAAGGUUUGCGGUCAUUGUGGUCCAAGGCUUUUACAUUUUAUCAGUACACCAUUUUAUUUUAAUUGCAUUAUAAAGACUUUGGAUGAAAGUUAUUCUGCACUUAUGAAUAAAAUAUAAAUGCAGGGAUGGAGCUUGGCUACCAUCGGAGGCAGUAGAGAUCUCUCCAUCAUUGUCUGACUAAAUCCAUCUAAUAUCACGAUCUAGAGGGGCCAUCUGUCCUUCAAACCAUA